rnacentral:rRNA from 1 species
UAAAUAGCCAGGCUGGCUUUGGCUAGUCGCCGGCUUCUUAGAGGGACUGUCAGCGUCUAGCUGACGGAAGUUUGAGGCAAUAACAGGUCUGUGAUGCCCUUAGAUGUUCUGG